GCUCAGUGGUUUGAGCGCGGUGCUGGCAACAAGGACCAGCACCGAGGUCGCGGGUUCGAUUCCCGC
rnacentral:tRNA from 1 species